rnacentral:pre_miRNA from 1 species
AAUAGAUGACGCCGUUGACUUUUUCUCACAUGUUUGACCAUUCGUCUUAUUCAAAAAAUUUACGUAAUUAAUUUGUUGUUUUAUCACUUAUAGUACUUUAAGUGUGAUUUUCAUCUUAUACAUUUGCAUAAAAUUUUUGAAUAAGACGAGUGGUCAAACAUGUGAAAAAAAGUCAACGGCGUCAUCUAUU